rnacentral:lncRNA from 1 species
UCCUUGAAGUAGUUCUCGCAAGUCUCAGCUAGAUGAAUCUCGAGCGAUGAAUCCAGAGUGACAACCGGCGCAAAAACGCGCUGGCUUUUAUACCAAAAGGCGAUGCAAUGCUGCACCAAUCACCGAAAAGUCCGAGCAUAACGCGGCUGUCGAUACAUAUGAUUGGCGUGAUAAAUGUAGUGGGAGAACGCGAGCUAGAAUAAAGAAAGAGCCCUUGCAGGCAUCUUAGCGCUACCGUGGUUACCACUAAAAACAACGAUAUUGCUUUGUCGCACGCGUCUAACGCUUUGGCAGGGCCGUACGCGCCUAGGUGCUUCGCCCUACUCACUCGUUGCGUGGGAUACGCAACAAAUCUUUCAAACGGAAUGCAUUAAAUGAUUCACAUCAUAAUGACAUUGAUGUUAAAAACUGUCCUAAACCUGAGGCGGAAGGGGUUCAUCCGAUGGAUGAAUACCGUUUGAACGGAGUUAAUGUCGAGUAUGAAUCUGAAUCUGUGGCGCAGAGGGUGAAUCCGAUAUCAACCAUAGCAAGACCUCUUCUUCAACUACGGUCUAAAGAGAAACAGUUAAAGAAAUCAGAACAAAAUUUUUCCUAAUUAAAAAAAAAAGUGUACCCGAUUAAUGGCAAGGACGAAGAAAAUGAAGCAAACGAA